CGGUUCGAAGCCCUACAGUCUCUCUGCUCUUCCCAUCUACACCUGAACCAAGCAAACUCCAACAUCCUUCACCAAACAGGGAGCCAAGCACUAGCAGGGUCUGAACUGUACAGUAGAUGAUGGUAUUCUGUUCUUCUGACUGACGAGAUUCUACCAUGGAACCGUAUAGUGUCGACGUCAUUAACAUAGUUAUGGCGUCGACCGGAAGUAACUGGCCAUUCACGGGACUGUCUAAGUAUGACAUGCAUUGUCUCCUGUACCAAUGGGGUAUCCAUACCUAACGGUCUGAACAAAGAAUAAUUCUUGUCCUUCUAUAUUAAACAAAACGAUUUGCGGAGGAGCGUUACGGCUAGCGGUGACGAAAGUGCCAACAUAUUUCAUGUCCCUUUCACUCUAUUAUUCAUGAUUAUUCAUGCAUUCAGUGUUUGUUUUACAACUAAGCAAGGUCUAUUUCCAUCCACCAAAAUUCUUAAUACAUGGCUUGGUCAGCUACUGCCUGUCGUCCCGACAAGUCUUCUAUAUUACAAUAAAAUUCAUGAAUUCCUAAUAUUAUCUUACAUUUCAUCUUAUUUUAAAUCUCUUCUAUUCUAUUGUAAUAUAAACAUAAAAUUUCAACACUUGAUUAUGUACAGCAUCAUUGGAUAUUUUUGUAGGUAUAUAAGAUACAACGUAUCAUAAUUCAUUGUAUGCAAUACAUUAUCAUGAUCAGUUUA